CCUACGGGAGGCAGCAGUGGGGAAUUUUGGACAAUGGGGGAAACCCUGAUCCAGCCAUGCCGCGUGAGUGAAGAAGGCCUUCGGGUUGUAAAGCUCUUUCAGCGGGAACGAAAAGGUUACGGUUAAUACCCGUGACUAAUGACG
rnacentral:rRNA from 1 species